CCUCACCCCUGGGCCUGGAAUGCCAAGGGAAGACAGAAGGAUUGAAGGCACAGAAAAAGCAGGAGGACCCCCUCUUACUUCCCAGUCUCCUUAUCUCAGUCAUCCGCAGCCUGAACGCCGCAUACUUCAGCGCAUGCAGCCUGCUGUCAGGAGCCCAGCCAGAGCAGCAGGUGCUACCAUCAAAAGGGACUGUUCAGGCGAGGUGUGGUGGCAGACGCCUGUAGUACCAGAGACUUGGGGGAUGAGGCAGGAAGAUCAACAGUUCAAGGUCACCUGGGUAAGUUACUGAAAUCCUGUGUUUAAAAACGGCU
rnacentral:lncRNA from 1 species